rnacentral:lncRNA from 1 species
CUAUCCCAGAGGCUGCCGAAGAUGGGGAGCUGAUGUGAAAAUUGAAGCAAUUACCCAGAUCACUCAGGCAGAAGAAUGUCUGAGGCUUUUUUUCCCUUGAACAAUCCAGAUAAUUGCUUCAAUUUACACUUCUUACUGGUGGUGGAGAUGGGUACAGACAUAGCUCUCCAGGAAUGGGCUGAAUAGAGGGAAACGGUGCUUGGAAAAUGAGUCUGAUAACUCAGGGGGAGAAAACACUGGGAAAAAUUCACAUGCUUCGGCCUUGAUUUCUACCAGCCUCAAGCAAGUCAAAGUGAGACUGUUCAUUGUUGCCUGAGUGAUCUAGGUAAUUCUCUAUUUUGUGUUUCAUCUUCACAACGAAGCUUUUCGGGCCGUGCAAGUGUUGCUGGUGGAGACAGCUGAAUAAAUCAUGGCUGGGAACUUCAGGUUUGAGACCCUUACCCUGUGCUGGCUGAUAAUAUUUUUAGCACCGUUUCAACAGAUGGGAUAAAAAAAUAAACAUUCAGAGAAGUUCAGUACAUUUUCCAAAGUCACAAAAUUUGUUAGCAGCUGACCUGGAAUGAAAAAUAAAGGAUCCUGAACCAAAGGCUCCAUCUGCAAUGCAACAUCAUUUCUUUCAGGAUCACCUUCCUUUAACAUGUUCGGAGGAAGAAGCGUUGGUCUCACAUCCUCCCAAGGGAAGCCCACCUCUCCUCUGUGGUUGCAUUCAAAACCCUCUUUCAGCUUUGCUGUGGAAUGGCUACUCUGUCUGAUCUUAUCACUGCUGCAUCUCUGGGAUUCUGGUCCUCCUGCAACACGAUGCUGCUGUUGCUGCUGGCACCGCUGCCAUGUCCAUCUCAGCCAGGAGCUGGUGGGGCAGGAGACUGUUUUUGUCUUUGCCUUGGGCUGUAAUUCCUUCAAGCACCACUGACAGACUGAGGGGUGCAGAGACUUCACUGGAGGAGACUUUAUCAUGGGGGAAAAUCCUCAAAACUAGGUUCCAUUUUUCACUUUUCCCAGAGUCCAAGGGUCCAGGAUCAUCCACAAGACACAAUACUCCUCACCAGUACAUUUUCUGGAUGUUAUUUAUGGACCAAUAAAUUUUGAAUUGACAGUGGCAUCUAGAUCAGUGCUGUUCAAUAAAAAUAUCUCAUGAGCUACAUAUGUAAUUCAAACAUUUCUGGAAGUCAAUGUAAAAAAGGAAAAAGAAACACAGGUGAUGUUUUAUUCAAUUAUUUAAUAUAUUUUAUUUAACCCAAUAUAUCCAAAGCAUUUCCAUUUCAACAUGUAACCAAUAAAAAUAAUUAUUAAUGAAAUAUUUUACAGUCAUUUUCACACUGUCUUCAAAGUCCUGUUUGUAUUUUACACUGACUGCUCAUUUUGUUAUGGACAUUAAAUUUUUAUUAGAAAUACUUGAUCUGUGUUUAGAUUUUAUAAAAUUUACAGUUGAAAAUGUG